GACGAACGCUGGCGGCGUGCCUAAUACAUGCAAGUCGAGCGAGUCUGCCUUGAAGAUCGGAGUGCUUGCACUCUGUGAAACAAGAUACAGGCUAGCGGCGGACGGGUGAGUAACACGUGGGUAACCUGCCCAAGAGAUCGGGAUAACACCUGGAAACAGAUGCUAAUACCGGAUAACAACAGAUGAUGCCUAUCAACUGUUUAAAAGAUGGUUCUGCUAUCACUCUUGGAUGGACCUGCGGUGCAUUAGCUAGUUGGUAGGGUAACGGCCUACCAAGGCGAGGAUGCAUAGCCGAGUUGAGAGACUGAUCGGCCACAUUGGGACUGAGACACGGCCCAAACUCCUACGGGAGGCAGCAGUAGGGAAUCUUCCACAAUGGACGCAAGUCUGAUGGAGCAACGCCGCGUGAGUGAAGAAGGGUUUCGGCUCGUAAAGCUCUGUUGUUGGUGAAGAAGGACAGGGGUAGUAACUGACCUUUGUUUGACGGUAAUCAAUGAGAAAGUCACGGCUAACUACGUG
rnacentral:rRNA from 1 species